CCUAAAAAAAGACAAGACUAAAGAAUAUCUUUCCUAUUGAUUAGUAGGAAGUCUUUGUAACGCCUGGGGACUAACCUGCAUUGCAAGGCUUCUUAGCCUGCGUGAGGCUCGCCUUUGCCCUGGUUUGUGGGACCCUUUGAUGUGCAGAGGGUUUUCAUCUCAGUGGAGUCAAACGCUUCACCCACGUCAUGGAAAUAUUGCCUUAUAUUUUCUACUAAAUAAUUUCAAGCUUUGUUUCUCACGGUUUGGCCUCAGUCCACCUGGGCUUUAUUCGCAUGUGUGCUGUCCGAAAAGAAUCUAAUUUCGUGUUCCCCGAUGGCUUGCCAGUGGCUGUACGCACCCCGUUUCAUGCUCUGGUUUCCCCGGUGGGCUGAGGCCCUGAGUCCUGUUCCCCAGUAUCAGCAUUUACAAAUACGCGAGGAUUUUCCUCUGCAAGGGCUCAGCGCUCAACACACUGACGUCUGCGCCGGCUCUGGGGACAGGCCCAGCUGGAGCCUGCAGCUGUGGCUGUGUCCGUGUCCCUCGGGAAGGGGCUGCCGAGAUGCAUACGGUCUCCGCUUCCUGUGGCCGCCGAAACAAAGGACCCCACACAUGGUGCCUUCCAGUGACAGAAGGUUCUGCUCUCACCGUGCAGGAGGCCAGACCUCUGCCAUCAAGGUGUUAGUAGGGUGGAUUCCUUCUGGAGGCUGCAAGCGAGAAUCUGUUCCGUCGCGCCUCUCUCCUACCUUCUUGUGGCCUUUGGAAUUUCUUGGCAUUGGUUGGCUUGUGGACGCUUAGCUCCACCCUCUGCCCUGUCCUUCCGGGGCCUUCUCCUCUGCGGCUCUGUGCCUGAUUCCCCCAAGGAUUGCCCGGGGAUUCACGGUCCACCGUCACCUAAGAUGUUGGCAUCUUGAGAGCCUGUAUUAGAUCUGCCAGACUCUUUUUCCAGGUAAGGUCACAUUCAGACCUUCUGGGUGGAUGUAUCUUUUGAGGCUCACCAUUCAACCCAUUUCUGGGUACGAUCCGUAGUGGGGAGAAGGGUUUCUACUCACAGAGGCUAGAAAGGAGCCUUUCUUCAAUGGUCACUUUCCCUCACCGACACCCUCUUCCUUCUGACGCCCUUGCUGGCAAGUUAGGCGCCCGAUCUGCCAUUUUUCUUUUCUUUCCAACCCCGCUCCCAAAUCCCGUGGUGUUAUCCCAGCCCUGGAAAUAAUAUCGAAAAGUUGGACAUAACCCCCAGGAGAGGAGGUAAUUACUUAAUUACUUCCAUAACAUUUGUUUAUUGUGCAAACUUACUGAGACACUUAGAGGUCAAUGGGGAAAGGAGACAGCCUAGAAUAAGAGGGCUCAGGUGCUGCCUCCAGGGUGAGCUGGGAACGUUGCACAUGUGAUGACCCAAAGGAUCACAUAAUGUGAAUUAGAAAGUGGAUUACCCAGGAAAAUCUUAGGUGUGAUCCAGGGUCCCAAAGCUCAUCUGAGUCCCGGAAAUCAGGUCACAAGGGCCAAGUCAACUCUGGCAGGCCAGGCUGAGCUGGGAAGGAGAUUUCAAGAGGAGGGCAGCCUGAACAACAUCGGCAGGUAUCACCCUACCUGGCUGGAUCCCAAGACUGACCACAAAAUGGGUUAAGGAUCCAGCAUUGCCUUGAGCUGUGGUGUAGGUCGCAGACGCGGCUUGGAUCCCGAGUUGCUGUGGCCCUGGUGUAGGCAGUGGCUACAGCUCCGAUUCGACCCCUAACCUGGGAACCUCCAUAUGCCGUGGGAGCAGCCCUAGAAAAG
rnacentral:lncRNA from 1 species